rnacentral:rRNA from 1 species
CGUAGGGUGCAAGCGUUAUCCGGAAUUAUUGGGCGUAAAGCGAUCACAGGUGGACAAGUAGGUCCGGUGUUAAAUACCCACGGCUUAACCGGGGUGCUGCAUUGGAAACCCCUUGACUAGAGGAAGGCAAAGGCAGGUGGAAUUUCCAUUGUAGGGGUUAAAUCCGUAGAUAAUGGAAGGAACACCAAAAGCGAAGGCAGCCUGCUGGGCCUUUCCUGACACUGCUUGAUCGAAAGCGUGGGGAGCAAAAGGGAUUAGAUACCCCUGUAGUCCACGCCUUAAACUAUGGAUACUCGAUGUUCGGAGGUUCAAUCCCUCUGAGUGUCUAAGCUAACGCGUUAAGUAUCCCGCCUGGGGAGUACGGCCGCAAGGCUA